rnacentral:rRNA from 1 species
GACGAACGCUGGCGGCGUGCCUAAUACAUGCAAGUAGAACGCUGAAGAGAGGAGCUUACUCUUCUUGGAUGAGUUGCGAACGGGUGAGUAACGCGUAGGUAACCUGCCUUGUAGCGGGGGAUAACUAUUGGAAACGAUAGCUAAUACCGCAUAACAAUGGAUGACACAUGUCAUUUAUUUGAAAGGGGCAAUUGCUCCACUACAAGAUGGACCUGCGUUGUAUUAGCUAGUAGGUGAGGUAAUGGCUCACCUAGGCGACGAUACAUAGCCGACCUGAGAGGGUGAUCGGCUACACUGGGACUGAGACACGGCCCAGACUCCUACGGGAGGCAGCAGUAGGGAAUCUUCGGCAAUGGGGGCAACCCUGACCGAGCAACGCCGCGUGAGUGAAGAAGGUUUUCGGAUCGUAAAGCUCUGUUGUAAGUCAAGAACGGGUGUGAGAGUGGAAAGUUCACACUGUGACGGUAGCUUACCAGAAAGGGACGGCUAACUACGUG